rnacentral:rRNA from 1 species
UACUUAGGGUGCAAGCGUUAAUCGGAAUUACUGGGCGUAAAGCGUGCGCAGGCGGUUAUGUAAGACAGAUGUGAAAUGCCCGGGCUUAACCUGGGAACUGCAUUUGUGACUGCAUGGCUAGAGUUUGGCAGAGGGGGGUAGAAUUCCACGUGUAGCAGUGAAAUGCGUAGAUAUGUGGAGGAACACCGAUGGCGAAGGCAGCCCCCUGGGUCAAGACUGACGCUCAUGCACGAAAGCGUGGGGAGCAAACAGG